AAGGCGGGGUAAAAGCUCACCGGUCCUGAUGGUGACACCAGGAGCCGUACACCUGAUGGGUUGAAAGACCAUGUAUACCGACGUUCAGGAUUGCUCGUCCGAUGCCGGGGGGUAGGUCGUACGAUCCCGCCAGCAAUGGCGGGACAAGAUAAAUGAUGGAAACCGGUUCAAUUAUCUCUUGCAGAUGCAUGAACCGGGACAGAAUCCGGCUUACAGGCCGGCUGCAAAA
rnacentral:ncRNA from 2 species